UUCCCAUAACCCCUAAACUGCCUUAAGCCCCUAACGAUUUCGACGCCAAUUUUUUUCAGUUGCGUUUUGGCUGCAGACCUUGAAAUAAGCAUCCUGUUGUUAGGGGGUUUUAACUUGGUAUAGUUAGUGAAUGUACACUGUUUGAUAUAAUUUAAAUCGUAAUUGUUACUACAGACUUUUCCCGAUUCUACCUCAACAAAAAAAGGACGAAGCUUCGCCAAUUGAAACCUUUUCUCGUUGAUCGUCAUCUACCCGCCAUCAUGCCCUUUUCAUGGGAUUUCGUGAAUCAUAUUCCAGUUUUGGGACAAAUUAAAGCAGGAGUCCAUCUCUGCCUCCCCAAUCAAGAAGAAGAAGCGAAAAAGGCCCUUGAAAAAAGUAACCAAUCGACGAUUGUAGCGGCUGCGGCCAUCGCUGGAUUGAUGUUGGGCGGAGCAUCAGGAUCAAAACGAGCCAUGAUCAAAGCGACAGAAAACAUAUCGGCAGCCGCUGAAUCAAAUGGAUCGGAUCUUCGUGGAGUUGCGAAAAUCCUGUAUCGUCCUCAAGAUCCUGAUUCAUGGAUCGAUGGAGCAUGUACAGUCGUCGACGAAGUCGUUCCCGAAAUGAAUCUAAGAGGACAAUUUGUAAAAUCUAGCGGGGGAUCGGCCAUCCAGGAGGAGGAUCAGUGAAGGAAAGGCACAUCUGUCGCAACUCGCAAAGAAAAUCGCCUCUCCAAUUAAAUUUCAAUCCAGAACGUGCACAUUCUAAUCAAGAUGCGGAAUUAACCAGAAUACAAUCAGUGGCCUUAAAA